GAUGAACGCUGGCGGCGCGCCUAACACAUGCAAGUCGAACGGUUAAAGCACCUUUUAGGUGUGUAUAAGGUGGCGAACGGCUGAGUAACACGUGGGCAACCUGCCCUCCUCUUGGGGAUAGCCUCGGGAAACCGAGGAUAAUACCCGAUACUUCAAUGUGGCCGCAUGACGACAUUGAGAAAGCUUUUGCGGAGAAGGAUGGGCCCGCGGCCUGUUAGCUUGUUGGGGGGGUAGAGGCCUACCAAGGCAAUGAUGGGUAGCUGGAUUGGGAGACCGACCAGCCAGAUUGGGACUGAGAGGCGGCCCAGGCUCCUAAGAGAGGCAGCAGUGGGGAAUCUUGCAGAAUGGGCGAAGGCCUGGUGCAGCGGCGCCGCGUGCGGGACAAAGGCCUUCGGGUUGUAAACCGCUUUCAGCAGGGACGAGGCGAUAAGUGACGGUACCUGCAGAAGAAGCCACGGCUAACUACGUG
rnacentral:rRNA from 1 species